CCCACGUGUUGUUAGGUGGCAACCAAAACCUCUCCUGCCAUAGCCACUCCAUCAGGCUGGACAGCAUGGUGUGAACACUGCCUUGUGGCCAGCACUCU